UUUGCCCAGUAUAACAGUGUGCUUCAUAUCUCUCUAGUCUCUAAAUAGUCUCUUGGAUCUGUAAUCCUAACUUCCAUAUUAAGAUUCACUUCAGGGGCUGGGCUGUAGCUCAGUGGUAUAAUAGCAAUUGCCUAGCACGUGUGAGGCACUGGGUUCGAUCCUCAGCACUGAAUAAAAAUAAAUAAAUAAAAUAAAGAUGUUGUGCCCAUCUACAGCUAAAAAUAAUUAAAAGAAAAAAAAAAGAUUCACUUCAUUUCAUGAACUUUAAUUCUCCCUACUAGAAGAACAUGCAGAGGCUAAGUCCUUUUCCGAGCAUCAGUCUCAAAGGUCAUUAGCCAGUUGUAAUCACACUAACUGCAAGAAAGGCUGGGUAAAGCAAGGAACAGUGGAAUAUUUGAAGACACAGCAGAAGCUAACCCUUGGAGGUCUGAG